AUUGAACGCUGGCGGCAUGCUUUACACAUGCAAGUCGGACGAGUGGCGAACGGGUGAGUGAUAUAUCGGAACGUACCGAGUAAAGGGGGAUAACUAAGCGAAAGAUUAGCUAAUACCGCAUAUUAUUCGAGCGGCCGAUAUCUGAUGAGCUAGUUGGGGGGGUAAAGGCCUACCAAGGCGACGAUCAGUAGCGGGUCGGAGAGGAUGAUCCGCCACAUGGGGACUGAGACACGGCCCAGACUCCUACGGGAGGCAGCAGUGGGGAAGUUUCGGCAAUGGUCGCAAGCCUGAUCCAGCCAUGCCGCGUGUCUGAAGAAGGCCUUCGGGUUGUAAAGGACUUUUGUCAGGGAAGCGGUACCUGAAGAAUAAGCACCGGCUAACUACGUGCCAGCAGCCGCGGUAAUAC
rnacentral:rRNA from 1 species